AACAACCCGGAAUUAAUUUGGAUAUACACUUUGUAACAACUAAUUCGGACGUGCCGUGACACGUAUAUAUAUGACUAAUUAAAGAGUACAAAAAGUUAUUUUCUCUCAGUUUCUAUAUUAGCCGAGACAAGCUUAUUAAUUACCGGCCGGAACAUCGGGACAUGACGUUAAAACCGGGACGAAUGGCCACCCUAUUUAUGGGCUUUUAAUAUCUUAAAAAUGCGUGAACGUAGCUAUUUUUCUAAAACCUACAAACCUACCACGCGGUUGGCGGUCAUUAUUAAACAGUUAUAUUAUAACACUAUUAAUUUAAUAUUUAUAUUUUUAGUUUUUAGUUUUUAAUUUUUUUUUGAGAAUUAAACAUUCCAAGGCUGUUCUCGUAUAUCGUUUACAUUAUUCAAGGGCUGCUCGCCAAAGGGCUAAUAAAUUAAUCAAAUUAUUUAAAAUUUGCAGGUUUUUUUUAUAUUGUUGAAAGUAAUAUACUAAUACACAAUAAAGUCAAUAUAUUGUAGAGAAAUAUACUAUAUAAUAAAAUGAAUAAUCAAUAAACUUACACUGAUUGCCCCUCAACUUUACACAAAAAGAUCCACCGAAAUAAAUCGAUCGACAACGAAAAACAACCCAAGCAGAACUAAUCGCACCGGUCUCGAAACACGAUGUCGUUGGAGGAUUUGACUAUUGUCUACCGACAAGUACCGAUAUCGUAUGGUCGGUUAUCUGAUCGAUGAUGAGAUGGACUACGGGAGUGUAUAAUGAUGUGACCAGGCGCGUCUUGCAACCACCAGCCACCCCAUCGCUAUAAAUCAAUGAGCCACCCGUGGGCCGCAUAUAAUAAUAAUGCGCAUGUUCCCCAGGACACAUACAUGGAAUAAAAAUUUAUUCAGUCUAGCGACAAACAGCCAGUGAGCAGCAGCCAUUAUAUUCACUAAGCCAUCCUGCGUACCCACCACCCACAGCGGCAACGGGCUACAAAGCGCAAGUCACUAUAAAUCACCUCCAAAUAUACUUUUCUAUGGUCAACUACUAACGACGCCAUUACCUAUAUCGUUUUUCACGUCAUCAAACUAAAUCUAUUAGUUUUGACAGCAUUUCUAAUAGACCCUAGUCUGUGCACCGACAUCGACGUAAUUAUACGAUUCAAAAGCGAUGAACUUUGCACAGCUGGUAUAAAUCAUCGUUGGUUUUUGCAGUUUACAAAAUAAAACUUAUCAUGAGGAAUUACAGGAAAAUUGAAAUAACAGACAGUAAAGACAGUAAUGCACAAAGUAUUAUUCAGGAUAGCUGGAUCGAUUAUGACUUGGAAUCAAUUCGUCUGGAUUUAUUAGUACUUUCUAGAUUAAUCCGGACCGUCGACAGUGUUGUUUUUGAGUUGAUGGCGAAGAAAACUUAAUAGCAACUAGAUAAAACUAAUUUUUGAUUUAGUAAUAACUAAUAAGCCCAUACACUAACAGUCAAAAAUGAAUUUGUAUAUGAUAUCAUUACCUAUAAAAUGUAUGUUUACCUUCAAUCACCUAUUACAAAAGAUAGAUAAAUAAUGUAAUAUAUUCAAUUUUUUUUAUUAACUUCAAAGCAAGUAUUCUAAUAAUUGAUUAUGAAAUUAAAUCUAUAUAAUUAAAAUACACAGGUUCAACAAUAUUUUGUAUGGACUUAAGUAUUUUUCACUUUGCUUAUAAAACUUUUGAGUUCUGCUUUUCGCUUUUUGAUAAAUACCAUAAUACGCAUAAGGAUUAUCAAUUUAGUUGUUAAAUGGUUAUCCUGAUUCCUGGUAUUUUUUUUUUUUACAUAUAAUAGAAUUUGAAAAAAACUAUGCAGUGUUUUUUUUUUUUUAUAGUUUGUUUUAAACAGUUUAAACGAUUAAUUCAUAAUUGUAUUGUAGUAUGUACUUAGUACGCUAGUGCUACCUAAACAAACAAUAAACAAUUAUAAAUAACACUACUGUAACCAUUUGAACAAAUAUUAUUUUUAAUAGAUAAGUUCCGCAAAAAUAUAUACAGCGGAACUUCGAUUAUCCAGGGCAAUGAUGAGGAGGGAGUCACGUGGAUAAAUGAAAACCAGGCACGGUUAAUCGAGACAUUUUAUAAUAAUGCAUUUUUUUAUUUAUUUAUAAUUAGAAAUUCAUACAAUGUUAUAUAUCCACAAUAUUAUAGGUAUAUAAUAAAUUAUCAAGGCUUAAAAUAUGAA